rnacentral:tRNA from 4 species
GGGCCUGUAGCUCAGGUGGUUAGAGCGCACGCCUGAUAAGCGUGAGGUCGGUGGUUCAACUCCACCCAGGCCCA